UUUUCAGUAGAAGUAUAUCCCAUGCAAUAUUUGGGACAUACUUAUGCUAAAA
rfam:Ailuropoda melanoleuca scaffold2615_2, whole genome shotgun sequence.